rnacentral:ncRNA from 2 species
UGGUCAAUAACGAUUACAGGUGCCCAAUAGGGAGAAUAGGGAAUCAGGUUUUAAUCCUGAGCGGACCCACCACUGUAAGAAGGGAGUUCCGUACACUGGCCACUGGUUUCGGCUGGGAAGGCGUACGGUAAUGAUGAUCUUUGAGCCAGAAGACCUGCCUGUAAUUAAGGUGAGCC